GGAAGGGUUGCAGCUGAGUGGUAAAGCACAUGCUUUUCAUGCAGAAGGUCUUGGGUUCAGUCUCCAGCAUCUCCUCCA